rnacentral:rRNA from 1 species
CCUACGGGAGGCAGCAGUAGGGAAUAUUGCUCAAUGGACGAAACCCUGAAGCAGCAACGCCGCGUGAAGGAUGAAGGUUUUCGGAUUGUAAACUCCUUUUGUUAGAGAAGAUAAUGACGGUAUCCAACGACUCAGCACCGGCUAACUCCGUGCCAGAAGCCGCGGUAAUACGGAGGGUGCAAGCGUUAUCCGGAAUCACUGGGCUUAAAGGGCGCGUCGGCGGGAUAGCAAGUCUGUUGUGAAAUCCUAUGGCUUAACCAUAGAACUGCAUUUGAAACUGGUAUUUUAGAGGAUGGGAGAGGUGGGUGGAAUUCGUGGUGUAGGGGUAAAAUCCGUAGAGAUCAAGAAGAAUACUCAUUGCGAAGGCGGCCUGCUAGAACAUAACUGACACUGAUGCGCGAAAGCGUGGGGAGCAAACAGGAUUAGAUACCCGGGUAGUC